rnacentral:rRNA from 1 species
CCUACGGGUGGCAGCAGUGGGGAAUAUUGCACAAUGGGGGAAACCCUGAUGCAGCGACGCCGCGUGAGUGAAGAAGUACUUCGUUAUGUAAAGCUCUAUCAGCAGGGAAGAAAAUGACGGUACCUGUGCACGAAGCCCCGGCUACCUCCGUACCAGCAGCCGCGGUCAUACGUAGGGGGCAAGCGUUAUCCGGAUUUACUGGGUGUAAAGGGAGCGUAGACGGCAGUGCAAGUCUGGAGUGAAAGGCGGGGGCUCAACCCCCGGACUGCUCUGGAAACUGUACGGCUGGAGUGCAGGAGAGGUAAGUGGAAUUCCUGGUGUAGCGGUGAAAUGCGUAGAUAUUAGGAGGAACACCAGUGGCGAAGGCGGCUUACUGGACUGUAACUGACGUUGAGGCUCGAAAGCGUGGGGAGCAAACAGGAUUAGAUACCCUAGUAGUC